CCUACGGGAGGCAGCAGUGAGGAAUAUUGGUCAAUGGGCGCGAGCCUGAACCAGCCAAGCAGCGUGAAGGACGAAUGUCCUACGGGUUGUAAACUUCUUUUAUCAAGGAAUAAAGUGAGGCUCGUGUGCCUGACUGUAGGUACUUUAUGAAUAAGGAUCGGCUAACUCCGUGCCAGCAGCCGCGGUAAUACGGAGGAUCCGAGCGUUAUCCGGAUUUAUUGGGUUUAAAGGGUGCGUAGAUGGGGUGUUAAGUCAGUGGUAAAAGCUCGCGGCUCAAACGCAAAGUUGCCAUUGAUACUGGCAGUCUUGAGUAGAGUUGAGGUAGGCGGAAUGCGUGGUGUAGCGGUGAAAUGCUUAGAUAUCACGAAGAACUCCGAUUGCGAAGGCAGCUUACUAGCCGGCCACUGACACUGAUGCUCGAAAGUGUGGGUAUCAAACAGGAUUAGAUACCCGUGUAGUC
rnacentral:rRNA from 1 species